rnacentral:rRNA from 1 species
UACGUAGGGUGCAAGCGUUAAUCGGAAUUACUGGGCGUAAAGCGUGCGCAGGCGGUGAUGUAAGACAGGUGUGAAAUCCCCGGGCUCAACCUGGGAACUGCAUUUGUGACUGCACGGCUGGAGUGCGGCAGAGGGGGAUGGAAUUCCGCGUGUAGCAGUGAAAUGCGUAGAUAUGCGGAGGAACACCGAUGGCGAAGGCAAUCCCCUGGGCCUGCACUGACGCUCAUGCACGAAAGCGUGGGGAGCAAACAGG